CGUAGGGUGCAAGCGUUAAUCGGAAUUACUGGGCGUAAAGCGUGCGCAGGCGGUUUUAUAAGUCUGAUGUGAAAUCCCCGGGCUCAACCUGGGAACUGCAUUGGAGACUGUAAGGCUAGAGUGUGUCAGAGGGGGGUAGAAUUCCACGUGUAGCAGUGAAAUGCGUAGAUAUGUGGAGGAAUACCGAUGGCGAAGGCAGCCCCCUGGGAUAACACUGACGCUCAGGCACGAAAGCGUGGGGAGCAAACAGGAUUAGAUACCCUGGUAGUCCACGCCCUAAACGAUGUCUACUAGUUGUCGGGUCUUAAUUGACUUGGUAACGCAGCUAACGCGUGAAGUAGACCGCCUGGGGAGUACGGUCGCAAGAUUA
rnacentral:rRNA from 1 species